rnacentral:ncRNA from 1 species
ACCACAGCCAAGGGAACGGGCUUGGAAUUAUUAGCGGGGAAAGAAGACCCUGUUGAGCUUGACUCUAGUCUGGCAGUGUAAGGAGACAUAAGAGGUGUAGAAUAAGUGGGAGAUGGCUUGCUAUCGACAAUGAAAUACCACUACUCUUAUUGUUUCCUUACUUACUUGAUUAAAUGGAACGUGUAUUUUCACAUAGCCAUUAUAUGGAUAUUUUAUUAUAUUUUAUGGUAUUUUGUUUUAAUACAAGCUUCUUGAUCCAAAUACUAAGAGUUUGUUAUAUAGACCAAACAAAUAUUUUGAAUUAUUAUGCAGGUUAUAUCUUCGGAUUGAUUUGUAUAGUAUAGUAAUUAUAUUUGGUAUAACUCCAAUACUCCGGUAUGAUCCAAUUCAAGGACAUAGUCAGGUGGGGAGUUUGACUGGGGCGGUACAUCUUUCAAAUAAUAACGAAGG